rnacentral:rRNA from 1 species
CAGCAGCCGCGGGAACACGGAGGGUGCAAGCGUUAUCCGGAUUUAUUGGGUUUAAAGGGUCCGUAGGCGGACUUAUAAGUCAGUGGUGAAAGCCUGUCGCUUAACGAUAGAACUGCCAUUGAUACUGUAAGUCUUGAGUAUAUUUGAGGUAGCUGGAAUAAGUAGUGUAGCGGUGAAAUGCAUAGAUAUUACUUAGAACACCAAUUGCGAAGGCAGGUUACCAAGAUAUAACUGACGCUGAGGGACGAAAGCGUGGGUAGCGAACAGGAUUAGAUACCCCGGUAGUCCCUGUCUCUUAUAC